UGCAAUUUAGAAUUACUUAGUGUUCUUAGAAAUGUCAAGCAAUGCGUGAACACGAUGUUCACGCAAGGCGCCACUGAGCCAUGGACGGCGAAUUGGCGCCGUUUGCGUAAGUGGCUAAUAAUCUUGAUAAGAACACUUAGGAAUUCUUAAUUGC
rnacentral:ncRNA from 1 species